GCCGGGGGAGGCCGGACCGGGCCGCCCCUGCCCCGGGCAACAGGUCGGCCAGGCCCGGCUGCCGUGGGCCGCCGGGGCGGCCCGUGAGGCCGCGGGCUGUGCUCGGGGGGCACCGCGGCCGUCCCGGUGGAGCUGCCUGGGGCAGCUUAUCGCCGCCCGGUGUAGCGGGAGCCGCGCAGCCCUCCCUGCGGAGCCUGCCGCCCUUCCCCCGGGGGCUGGUGCUGGAGCAGGCUUCUCCCGCUCGGGAGGGCAGCCCGUGGUCUGUGGCGCUGCCUGACGUGGGGGCCGCGUCACUCCCGCGUGAUGGUGUCACGGCGCUGCGAGGCUUGCUCUCUGUUCUGUUGGCGUGACGCUUUAGGCGGAGGUUGGUAAAACGUUGCAAAGCAGAAGCUGGUUGCGUACAGGGGUAGCUUUGAAGUAGCUGGAAAAGCUCCUUCAUCAGCCUGGAGUGAGGCCUUGCUUUGCUGUGCUGGUGGGUUUUCUUCUAACCAGCAAAACUCUUCACACUGGUUAAUCUGAGGAUUUGGUUAAAUAUAUUGUUAUUGUUGUCAGGGUAUCCUAAAGCUAUAGGUGGCUUAUAAAUGGAUAUUAGCAAUCCAUGUUUAUUUACCAGGUGGAACUUGCCCCCCCUGGGGAGGUGUAGCUACGUAUUUGCAGGCAGCGCUUGAUAUGCGUUAAUGGUCUGUCAGCCUGAAGAUGAGAAGUGGCUUGUCAGCUUAUGUAUUUUGGUACUCUGAUGAGCUUGCUUGUUUUACAGUGGUCAUUAAAAGCAGUGUUUUCAGGAAAGCAUAUUUCGAUUUUUGUGUUGACACUGCUCGUUUUGUGUGGGGUUACAGCAGCACUGCAGGGUUUGAAGCAGGAGGCGCUGCCCUCUCUGGCACCCAGAGUUGCUAACACAUGACUGUUGGCCAGGUAGCAAGGGGUUAAUUUACAGUAAUUACCAAUAACAGUUUCUGCUCCCUAUCGCUGCUUUAGUCAGCAUUUUAAGCCUACUUUCAAACUUCAGAAUAGUGUGCUACAUUAGAACUUCUCACUUGGCACUGUGUUUGAGUGAUAGUGCCAAUGGAGCAAGCUCACGAGUGCUCACAGGGUUUGUAGGCAGCGACAGCGUGGCAGAGGCCUCACUUCUGCAGCCCCAGGUGUCUUCUGAAGGGCCGCAACAGAGCAUGACUUCAGGCUUAAUGAAGUUUCUAAAUCAAAUUAAUUGCAACGGUUUUAAUAAGUUGAGUUUCUGGUGCAGUUUUUGGGCAACUUUAGCAAUAAGCUUAAAAGGAGAGCUAAAAUAAAUCUCUUUCUAGCCUUCCUCUUCUGCAGGUCGCAGCACUCCUGUUUAACUUCUAAACUUCUCUUUCUGCCGCUGACAGUUCAGGUCUUUGUCUUGCUCUACUGUAAUGCCACAUCUCUCCGUGCCUUUCUGUUGCUGCCCUUCAGUGUGCUCUGGAGCGCUUUGGGUAGUGAAGGGAUUAAAUUUCUUUGGAGGUGGAGGAAGGAGAAAAACCUGCCCAUUCACUAGCAGGAUUCUGGGUCAGACUAAUGAGGUCUUGAAGAAGGACAGGAUCCUGAUGAGUAAUUAAGGAGCUGUGAAAAGGAGAAGGGCUGGGGAUGGUUUUCUGGUGGACAACAAACUUUUUUUUCCAGAGGACUUUUGAAACUUAGAGGCCAACUUUUAUUAUUGGGCUGCUAAUAAAGACAGCUGAUUACCUAUUAGCUUGCUGGGAUGUGAGUUCCCCGCAGGACACGCUAAGGCACUGCUCAUUUGUUCAGGGUUCAAGAUGCCAGUCAUCAGCUGAGCUCCAACAAAUUGCAUUUUUAUUAUGUGCGGUUGUUUGGAUUUUUCCUUCUCUGACCUCAGGUGGUUUUAUAAUCCAGAAGUUAGAUAAUCUUGAUGCAAAGUCACUUAAAUCCAUAAUUUAAGUGAAAAGAAAAAUAUGUUAGUUUUAUAUAUGAAAGCCUGUCUUUUUAAUGGAAAUACAUUGAUAUAGUUGAGAUGUUUUACAUAAAACGGAUGAAAGCUACACAACUAGAGAUUUUUUCUUUUGAAGUGUUAGAUUGACUUUAAAAAAUAUAACUUGAUAAAUCCUUAAGCUUUCUUAGUCCUCCAAGACCUAAGCAUUUUACUCUGGAGAUGUCUGUAUAUCCCUGCUAUUCAUAGAGAAGCAUACUGUGGCUGGUGCAUAUGCGUAAUGCUCAGCUGGACGGUUGUGCUGACAUUAAUGGAAGCUGUUGGGGUAAAGCUGGCAGAAGAAUAGACGUGUCUGCAGCAGGGGCAGGGAGCUUACCUGAAAGCUUAAAGCCACCUUGGAAAACCUGGAAUGAUGCUUUUGUUUUCUCAGAGGAAAGAUGGGUGUCUGGCACACUUGGGGUAACAAAAGGAUACGUUCUCUGCUCUCCAGCACACUAUGCGAUUGUUCCAGUGCCAAGCGAGCGGGGUUUCUAAAGGCUCAUUGACUAAUUCCUACGGCGCUUCUGGAGUCUAAGAAAAGCCCAGAAACUUACAGGCCUUCUGGUUCCUGUGCCUGCCCCAAGCACAUGCAGUUUUUUUUAAUUUAGGAACUUACUGUAAGUCUAUAUUUUUCAUAAUACACAUUUAGGAUAUCCAGGCUAUAUAAUCAGACAACUCCUCAUGAAAUUUUGAAGUUAAAAUGAGUAACUACCUGGUACACAUUUCUUUAAUCUGUUGUUUAUUGGCAUGGGAGGCUUUCAACUUUUGUUAAAAGUUCCUUUUUUCAGGGCCUUUUUGUUCCUUUCUGGCUGCACAGACGUGGCAGAUUUAUCAUCGCUGUGCUUCCUGAAGUAACUCAAGUGUAGUAACUUUUUUUUUUUUUUUGCUUUCACUCUACCAAUUCCUUCUCAUUAGUCCACAGUAUCAAAAUAGUUGCUGGGGGCAGGCAACAGUCUCAAGUGUUAUGUUGGUGCGAAGGCACCUGUGCCGCUUCUGGAGCGUGUUACGGAGACCAGCAGUUACAGCUUUAAUGUGCGUGUCAUUUUUUUUGUCCAUGGGGUGAAGAACUGCUUAGAAGACUGAUCAUCUUUAGAAGGGUUUCUUGAAAAGGUGCAAGCUAAUAUUCCUUCUUCUGGGAAGCACUUGGGUUAUACUUGUGUUUUGUUUUGUGUUCUUAUGGAAACAUUCAGCCUACUGUUUUGAAAAUAGCGUGUGUUCUGGUGGGUUUUUUUCCCCUCCUCCCCUGUAGAGGCUCUUCAAAACUUUUGCUUUUAGCUCAUCAGUAGUAGACUUACUGCUCUCCCUGAAGUUAAUGGAGGCAGCAGUAAUAUGGCGUAGUUUGAACACCAGUCAGCCAGUAUCUUACUGGAUUUUAAGUCUGUCCUGAAAAUAAAUUUUGCUGUAACAAAAGAAGUGUGAAGCUGUGAGCUUGAAAGUUUGUAAGUACUGUGCUGCUGCUGCAUCCUUUUAUUCCACUCCAGUUUGUCAAUAUAGAGUUGUUUCAUCAAAUCUGGGAUGUUUUAUCAGGCACUCAAACUUGAUGAAAGAAACCAAACUGCUAGAUCUUGCCAAAGGUUAUGAAGUUCUGGGACUUUAUUCAGUUUCAGGAUAGCUCAAGCUGAUCUUAAUCACCUACUGCUGCUCCAUUUUUACUGUUUUAUUCCUUUCUUUGUGGCUGUUGUCUGGUCACGCAAAGCCAAGCUGCCAGAGAAAUAGCACGCACACACAGAGAAGCAAUGGGUUAAUUCCUUGAUCUCUGACUACUAUGGCUAUAAUGAUUCCAGAAUCUGUUUCUCGUGGAAACCCAAAGCUCAAGCUGUGUCUCAAUGUGAAGAUUAUAGUAGGGAGAGAAACCUGAUGCUGUCCUAGGGUGCCACUUCUAUAAGUAGUCCACUCCAGAGUUUAGAUCUAGGAUGAAUCAAUGCAGUUAUGUUCCUGCCUGCUAGUGGAUUUUACCUUCUUGUGAAUGAACACUAGGUCCACAGACACCAUAGUGGGUGAAAAGCUAAUACUGUGCCAAUAUACAGUAAAUUCAUUCAGACUUUAGCAGGAGACUGAUGUUUCAUGGAUUUUCUAUCAACUCUGAUUUUGGUUAGCUGGUGUUUUUUCUCCUCUGAUGUCAAAAUUUCGCUUUCACUGUAAAUAAAUAUAACGCGGGUUUUUUUCAGCACUGGUGACCAAGUGCACAAAAUAGAUGCAAAACCACAACUAUAUUCCUGCUGUGUAAUUCAGGCUUUUCCUGGGGAGAGCACACUCCUAUUCUCCACCUCACACCAAAAUCAAAUGAACAAGGAAGCUGGGUGCAGGCUGAAGCCAGAAGUCAUGAUUUUGUGCCCACCUCCAGCUUGCAAUAGAUCACAGUGCUGCCACAGGUAAGUCAGUUCAGCUGGCUGAUCUGGUGGAAAAUUAACUGUUUACUGUCACCUUUUCUUAAUGUCACAUCAGUCUGCUGAUCUGAUUUGCCUGUUGCUGGAGGGUUGCUGUGUCUGGCACCAGAACAGAGACAGAAUUGCUUCUUUCAGUACCAGGUUAGUUAACCUGGCUGAAACAUACAACUGGUGUGGGGUGAUGUGGCUGUGGAACUGGUGCCAGUUGAUCUCGAGUGAUGUGGCUGCCAGAAGUGGUAGUGCCUUGUUCGGCCUGUACCUCUUGUGCUGGCGUUAGCAUUUGUGUGAGUGCAUGAAUUGGAUUAGUUUGCUGAUCCAGCCAAAACCUAACUGUUAUAAAAAAACCCCCAUCAAACCCCCAAAAAACUACCAAACAAACAAACAAACAAAAGGUUGUUUUUCCCACUUAACCACAGAAAUGCUAGAGCUGGCAGGAGAGAGAGUUAGGAGUGUGACUGGGAGGAGGAGGGCAAUUCUGUCUCUCCUGGCAACAGCUCUCUGCUUGGUCAGCUUACAGGUACCAAUUGUGAUAAAAUCUGAGGGUGACGUGCAGUCUCCCAGCAAAGAAGUCAGUUGAUCAUUAAUUAAAAAGUGGAAGCAUGCCUGCAUGAUGGCGUAGACAAUUUUGUUUAGAAGUUUGAGUUGUUCAAAAUGUUGUGAUGAUCUGGAAUUCAAGGCAGGAAAAGCUGCAACCUCAGGCCUGGGUGUGGGCAAAGACUCAAAUGACCUGUGACUCUGUGUGUCAGGUCUUAGACUUUAAUGUGUUGCUUGUGAAUGUGUUUUUAAGGUCCUGCUUGACAUUUGACAAGAAAAGUGAUCUCUGCUCACAGAACCAAAUAACAGGAGGCUGGUUUUGUUUCCGUGGGUUGUAAGAUGCUGAUGUAGGGGAAGCACGAGUCCUACAGCAAACACUAUCCAGCCCUUCUUGUGGUACUUGUCUCCCUUUUCAAUGUUUUAAGUCAUAGUCUAAUAUAAAAUGCAUUUUUAAGUUCCAGGUGCUUAACUGUAAACCAUGACUUCAGUGCAAGAGUACUGAUAGGAGUACUGGCCUGAGUCCUUCAUCUCACCUGAGAUUAAUGAGUUGAGCCAAAUUAAUCAUUUGGCUUGGGAAAAGUGUGAUAAUUGCUCUUUUAAAAUAAUGUUUAAAAACAAGAGGAAACUUCCUGUUUGUAAUUCUACCCUCCCUGUGUUUAACAGAGGCUCUUGGAGACAAGAUUGCUGUAGUAUAGAAGUUUGGGAGGGAUGGAGGGGCUUCACAAACACCUUUUAAAACAGCUUUAUAAAGUGGCAUAAAUAAAAGCAAAAACCUGGGGUUCUGCCAGAUGUGUUGGGUAACUGUAUUUGAUGCAAUACGUCCUUCCUCUGUUCCUGUUCUCUGUCAAGCCCUGCCAGAAGGGAAACCUGCCGUUCAGCGAGGCCUGGACAGGCUGGAGAGGAAUCUCACAGAGUUCAACAGAGGCAAGUGCAGGGUCCUGUCCCUGGGGAGGGAAAGCCCCACGCACCGGCACAGGAUGGACUGACCUGCUGGGCGGCAGCUCUACAGAGAAGAUCCCUUCAGGGCGAGUGCCAAGAGGACGGGGCCAGGCUCUUCUCAGCGGUGCCCAGCGACAGGACACGGGGCAACGGGCACAAGCUGCAGGACAGGAGGUUCCAUCCGAAUACGAGGAAAAACGUCUUGAUGUGCGGGUGCCAGAGCGCUGGGACAGGCUGCCCGGAGGGGCUGCGGAGUCUCCUUCCCUGGGACAUUCCAAACGCGCCUGGACGCGCCUGUGCAGCCAGCCCGAGGUGACCCUGCUUCAGCAGGGCUUGGGCUGGGUGCUCUCCAGGGGUCCCUUCCCACCCCGACCCCUCUGGGGUUCUGUGAUAGUGACUGCAUUUGCCCAUGUAGCUGCAUCUUAAGCUCAUUUGAAUACCUGCUGCCAGGUUACUCCAUGCAUGCAAAGACUUGUAACGUCUUUCACUGUGAAACUUGUCUUUUGGAGUCUCCCUUUCUGAUAAGGCUGUGAUCAGCUAUGCUGGCUGUUUCACUGAUGUGGUGGUGUGUUACGUGUUACCAAACAUCCAUAUUGUGUGCGCUGUUCAUGGCCUGGCAGGAGCUUGUUCAGGUUUAAGGAUGUCAUGUUUACUUCCAGGUGACUGCACAGAGGUUGCUUGGAUGUAGUGGAACUAAAAAGAAACAUAGAUGCCUGGGUGACAGGAACAUCAGCUGAUGAUAUUCAGAAACUUAUAGGUGAUUUUUGUGAGUUUUGAAAGAAAAUAAGUUUAUCUAAAACUUCAUAACAGGCCAGAUAGGAACUGUGCACAGUCAUUGCAUCUCCCCCGAAGGUAGUACCGUAAUAAGAUGUCUUGCCAGCAUCCCCAUGCUCAGCACGUGUGAUGUCCUGGCGGGAAACAGAGUGGUAGAAAGCCUCUUCUGGUAAGUGUUUUCCUGGCAGCGCCAUCAACUUGUGAUGUGAGGGCUGCAGUAAUUACUUAUUGCUAAACCUGGCUCCUGGAGCUGGUCACUGCCUAAGAGUGUGGGCUUGCCAUUAAGAAAUGCAAUUUGGUUCUGGCCUCAAGAGGCGUGCUGCAGUGUUACCAGCUAAGUGUUUGGUGGUUGAUUCAAGAAAUCUUUUCUUAAAUAAAUGUAUUUUGUCUUAUUUGCUUGCUAAGUUUUGUGUUUCUAAAGGUUUAUGUUUUCAGCUUUUUCCCCCUUAGUCGUUACUGUUGGAAUCUGAGUAUUCAUGAAAAAAGUAAUUUUUCACAUCUCAAAAUAGCGUAACUUCACCAGAUGAGAUGUUAAGAGAAAUUGUCAAUAUUAUGACAGCCUCAACGAAAUUCUUAGACUUGGCAAUACUCUAACAAUAAUUGCCCAGAGCUGGCAGAUGCAUGUUGGGUUGCCCAUGGUGCUUGCUUUCUGGACUAUCCACCUCUGUUGUGGCCAGGCCUGGUGGGGGUUACUCGGCAUGCUGGUUCUGCAUCCAGCACUGCAAUAUGUUUCCAUCUGUAACUUUCAGCUGGUGUGAAUUACUCGUGGUUUCAGGAAUAAAGAGCACUGUAAUCAUGGAUUCUGACCUUUGGAAACACACUUUCUGCACUCCUUGUGAAAAUGGCUGCUUGUGACUAAUCACUCGUAAGGGAGCGUGACGAGGAAGUGUGUUAACGCUUCAAGUAUAGCUGCCUUACGGCUCAGCUAUGGGAUGUGGAACAACAUCAGCAACUACUGGCACAAAGACAGAGUCGAUGCUGGCUGGAGCACUGAGCAGUGCUGUGGUUGGCGAUGCCUUGAAGGUGGUGGUUGCUGUUCUGUUUGGGUAUUGUGUGUAUUAAUGCUCUCUUUGAUGUUGUACGCAAUACUUCAUUAUCUUUUUUUUUUGCCUUUGUGUGUUUGUUUCUUAGACCAGGAGUGCUUAUUGUUUAACCUCUUGCAUGAGAGACUAAAUGUUCUGGCAGUGCUUUGCUCAAGGGGAAGUUGUAAUCUUGUUUUUUAAAUACAGAUAGGACAGAAACCUUCUUGUAUUCUCUGCCUGGGUUUGUAUGCUUUAUUUGGAUAGUUAUAAUCGGUCACUUCAUCUGUGAGCUGGGAAUAGUUGCCUUCAUUUGAGGAUAUGGUUUGGGAACUUUAUUAGAUGUUUAGUAGACAGACACAGAAGGAUAAGUGGAGGACCAAGACUGAACUCUGCUCAUGAUUCCCUGCUAAAAGUGCAGCAUCCCCCAAAAGAAAGGCACAGGAGGCUGCCACAAGCACUUGUGAGCUGCUUUCUGGAAACCAUGCUGGAGACAUUAGGCCCUGCAUUGGGGGCCAGGCAUUCAGCAUGAAGCGACUUCUAGGCCUGUAGAUACCCUCUGGACAUCAGAUCUCAGUAGGUGAUCCUCACGGGAGAGGAAGUCAUGCUGCUUUGCACUGUAUUAGCCUUGGAGUUGAUGUGCAUUUAUUUUUAACCAUGCUUUGGUACUUCUGUCUCCCAUUCGUUUUCACACCAUGAUGCUUAAAAUGAAAUCUGACUUCUUGGACCUCUUGACAUUUUGUGCUGUGCCAUCUGCUUGACUUAGUGUACCUGGGUAUUUAAUGGAAAACCAGUUAGGAAUAUGGUUAUCUAUCAGUUUCACAGCCAUCCUUUCUUUCUUCUUCUUUAGUCCCUUGUAUGAAGCCUUUAUGCUACUGGCUCUAAAGGCUUUACGUUUCUUUUCAUGUAGAGAAAGCUCGCUAACAUGUGGGAUGUAGGCAAAUCUCUGCUGGAGCACAGGAUGGGUAGGAAAUAUUUCCAGAACUGGAAACAGCACCAAAACAAAAAUACUCAGGCAGAAGCUUGCAGGACAAGGGUGGUUUCUAGCUGUUAUAUCUAGAGGAGUUACAUGGUUUUGGAAAUACUCUGAAAAUUUUUUGAAACACCCUGAAAAGAUCUGAUCUCUAGGACCCUGAAUAGAGAAUUAAGUGUCACCUGCUUCUGCAUCUUGUUAGACUUGCCUGGUCUGGGCCAAGCAUUUCUUGGUAGGUACUGCAGACUGUUGUGGCAAGAUACAGCCUGGAUGCUUUUAUGCCAGGUUUGGUUUGAACCAACACAAACAUUCUUCUGCUAGUUAACUGUUCCUUGACCCAGAAAAUCCCUGUAGAAAGGUAUUUUUUCAAGGCUGGACUCAAUGGUGUGAAAGAAGUGUAGUAAGACUGUAGUGGGAUUUAUAUCUACAGAUUUUUAUCUGCUUGUAGCAUUGGAGGAUGUUUUGCGAAUUGCUUUAAAUUACCUUUUUGCUUCUUAGGAUUUUUUUUUGAGGUAUUGUAGGCAGUUUGCUGACUCUCAAUGGAAUGAGAGAUGACCAGUUGCUGCCUAAGAUUAAGCUAUGCUACUGUAGGCAAGACAGCCAAUUACUUACACCUAUCGGUGCCUCUUGUUUGUCCCAUUUCAAGGACAGCAAGGAUGUUCUUUGUGAUUAAAUUUGCCGAGGCAAGUGCCAGGAAGAUGGAAUGGUAUUUUCAGAAGCAGCAAAAAUAAUGACACUUCUUUUGUUGAGCAAAUUAUAGAUGGAUACACAGUAUAAUGUGCAAGACAGUCACCCAAUAUUAAGUUGAUUAUCUCAAUCAUCUCUAGUGUCUGAGCUUUCUGCUAGAGGGGCCAAGAGACCCCCAUUUGGGAAGCUCCUCUGCAGCUAUCUUGCACAAUUUAUUUUGGCAUGGUUGAAAUUUGGUGUACAUUAUUUUUGAGGCUGCUGCGGAACUCUUGCAUCCUAUAUUAAUACAGCUGGUGUCCUGCAGUGGUGUGUCUGCUGCUUGCUAGACAGACUGUAAGAAUUUGGUGUGAGAUUAACUUAUUUUUUUUCCCCUUAGUUGGAGCAAUCAGAGCUAUUAACCCAUGUGUCUUCGUCUGGAUGAGAAGCCUUUUCUAUUCUAGGUAUUGGCGUGAUUUUUAGCAGAUUUUUGCAGAGGCAGGAGUCGGAUAGCAGGAAACGCAUGUUGUGAGCCACCAGUCGGGACACAUUCUCUGGGUUCACAAAUGCUUGGACCUUGGUACAAGUGUGGCUUUGAAUUUGAUGGAACUCUUGAAUUGCAUUUUCAGUUGUUCUCAGUACUCUUUGAAGUACCUGGUCCUCCUGUUCCUUUCAAGUUGAGAUGUGUUUUUGCUAGCAAAAUACGGAGUUGCAAGUAUGUAGAAAAAAAUUCUUGAGUCUUUGUUUUUAAUCUACUAAUCUAUACUUUUCUGCUAAUGAUACUUAAAAGCAUUAAUUCAGUAGAAUUGCUGUAUGCAUAAAUAUUCCAUUAACAUUACUUGUCUUACAAGUGUAUAAGCAAUAUGUACUUGCAGGAGGGCUGUUGAUUUUUAAUGAAAUCACUGAUGUGUUCAUAGUCAAUUUUUCCUCUCUGAAUGUGGUACCAUGUAGUACCAUUGUAUUUUUAUUAUCCAGCUAACUUCUUACCACAGUGAACAUUUUUCUUAUUUCACUAACAAACUGCUGUAAAUACUGCAAGGAAAGUCUUAAGACUUACUGUUAAUAAUAAUUUGCUUAUAUACAGGUUGAAAUACUUUUAAAAUACACAAAAUUAAAUUCUUAGAGAUGGCAUUUCUUGAGAACAAAGUAAAAUUAUUUGGGUGAGCAGUUAUGCUUUUCAGACUGUGAGUGCUGACAGAGGAGGAUAAUCUGGCUAAAUGACUCAACCCUUCAUUUUUGAGUGUUUGUUAGUCGGGAGUUGUGACUGAAAACCGAAACAUGAGUUCCUGCUUAUCAGCUGUGCUGGGGAGCUGGGUGCUGCCAUGGUAGGCAUAAUAAUGAAAGCCUCGGCUUCUUGUUAUUCGCUGUGGUCAAACAGUAAGUGAGAAACUUCUGCUGGAAUUUCUAGGGGGUGGCUAUCACAGAAAUGCAAAUAAAUAGGAAAUAAAAAAUAGUAUUUUGCAGCUAAUCAGUUGGAGACUGUAAAUAAAUAAAACCCCAACAACAAAAGCAUACCCCACCAAAAAAACAAACAAACCAACCCAAACAAACAACCCCAGGUGAGGGAAUAGCUUUUUCUGUAUGAAAAAGUUUGAGUUCUUGAAAAGGCUGAGAGAUGUUCUUCAAAUGUACUUUUGUACGUGUUUUUAUGUUCAAGUAAUUGAAGCAGUCAGUCCAGAUCAAACAGCUUUUGACUCAGCUGCUGUUUUACUGGACUUGCCCCCCUCUCUGCAAGCCAAUCUCUUAGUGAGAAUUUCUGUGUAGAAAGGAGCUGGAGAGAUUAUAGUCUGACGCUCAUUAACACUGAGACAUACUAUAUUACUUUGCCAAUGAAAAAGAGGUCAUAAACUAUUUAUAUCAAUUUUAACUGGUCAGAGCUCUGUGGUGAUAUUUUUAUGAAUAAAAAUUGGCUUCAAUGGCCCAGUUGUAGCUGAUAUUAAAGGCAAUGAAUAUAUCAAAAUAUCAUAUGAAGAAGAUAAUUUUGAGCCUGCUGACCGUCUCCUGAUGGAUGACAGGAGUCACCCAGUUAGGUAAUACAUUUAAAACUUUAAUUUAAUUGUAAUAAUAUAGAUAUAACUGCUUUUUCCUCAGUGCAUACUUCUUUAUGUAUUCUGUUGAAAACGUCACUAAAAUUCAAAUAAAGUGCAACUAAGUUUUGUUAUCUGCUGGGUUUUUUUUUAGAGGAUAUUUUUAAGUGCAUGCAGUUCAUAAUGCGCAUUGGACUUCCAAGCUAAAACGCACACUGUGCCUGUUAAGGGUAAGAUAUGGAUUGUAAAGGUUGUCUUACUGAGUGUUUAUUGGCAAUUCUUGCUGUGGUCUGGUGGAAACUUAACUUCCCAUGUAAUGAUCAAAUAUUUUUGCUGUCAUUGGGUCUGUGUUGAUUCAUUAAGUGAAAGUUAUCUUAAAUAUUGUAUUUUUUUGUAAUUGUAAAUUCUAAGACUACCAACAGUUUUCUCGCAUCAGUUUAGCUAACCCAUGGCUGUUUUGUAGGUCAGGAGGGUAAUCUGUCUGUUGUAAAAUGGUUCAGCAACUACUGUCUUUUCCUGACGUGCAACCUGUGGGAGAUUUCAGCUAAAAAUGUAUAAAAAAAAGGGGUGUGUGGGCGUGGGGCAAGAAAAAAAAUCCCCUCCUAAACCAGCUGGUGAUGUGAACUGGUACCCCUCUUUUUAUAUGAAAUAGGGAAAUUUCAAGAGUAAGUUAACCCACACCCAAAGGCAGGAUGUUGUGGGACUUGUGUUACUGAGUGACUUCGCUGGAGUGUCACUUCUUACCGAGGGAAGGCUGCCCGUGGGACAGUGGGAGCUGGUCAGGGACACCGCCUGUCAUUCUUCUGUGGCUGUUCCUGGCAUCCUUUGUUGCAAGUCCCAUGCCGAGGAGCUGGGGAAAAUUUUCAUACAGAACUGUUUCCUUCAGCUUUGAGCAAGAGUAGUGCUAUGCCAAGCGAUCCUGCAAGAACUGUGCCUUGCCCGGUACUCAUUGCCUGCAACAGACUGGAUUUACCAGCUGUGCUUAAGUAAUUAGUAACAUGUAGAGAUCGUAGUUGGGAUCUUUCUGUGCUUUAUUCUAUAUAAAGGCUAAGAAAUACACAGGCACAACAUGGUGAGGCUAAGCGUCAGCCCUUAACUUGUUUUGAGCCUCUGAAUAUCAGGCACUUUGCAGAUGCUGCUGUGAGUCUGGUGCAGCGAUCUGUAAUCUUCCAGCUUUUUACUCCAAGAUAAGGAAAUGGUUGCACUGCUGGAAACCUUAGAUCAGCCAUUUCUAGAAAAAUGUGCUGGUGAUCUUUCUAGCAACAGGUUCUGGUCACAGGCAAACUCUUGUCUGGCUAGGCUAGGGAAUAAAUGCUUUAAACUUAAUAUAUGGUUGCAGGUCCUGCUGAAGCAGUUCCACAGCAGUUAAAGCUGGGUAUUAAAUUACUUUGCCUGCCGAUGUGAUUACUAUCUUGGAAGCAGUAAAGGCAUAAUUAGGGGUGUGGGUCCUGUGGGCUGCUUCUUCCACGGCUGCCCAACGUUACACUUCGACUUCAAACACACAUCCAUUUUUUUUUCAUGUGUAUAAUGCUAGAGGACAUAUUUGUAGCCUACUGUUUCUGUUUCAUAUUUAUUUCAAAUUCUGGAAACUUUUUUUUUUGUGA